rnacentral:rRNA from 1 species
CCUACGGGAGGCAGCAGUGAGGAAUAUUGCACAAUGGAGGAAACUCUGAUGCAGCAACGCCGCGUGGAGGAUGACGCAUUUCGGUGUGUAAACUCCUUUUAAGAGGGAAGAUUAUGACGGUACCUCUUGAAUAAGCACCGGCUAACUCCGUGCCAGCAGCCGCGGUAAU